rnacentral:rRNA from 1 species
UACGUAGGGUGCAAGCGUUGUCCGGAAUUAUUGGGCGUAAAGAGCUCGUAGGCGGUUUGUCGCGUCUGCUGUGAAAACCCGAGGCUCAACCCCGGGCCUGCAGUGGGUACGGGCAGACUAGAGUGCGGUAGGGGAGAUUGGAAUUCCUGGUGUAGCGGUGAAAUGCGCAGAUAUCAGGAGGAACACCGGUGGCGAAGGCGGGUCUCUGGGCAACAACUGACGCUGAGGAGCGAAAGCGUGGGGAGCGAACAGG